ACCUGACGGACUUGUAAUUUCAACCUUACUAAUAAUACAAGUACUAUUAUUAUUAGUUGGCAAAACAUUAUUAUGCGACGCAAAUUACAAGUACUUGUAAUUUGUUGACUUGUAACUUGUAACUUGUAGCUAAUAUUAUGGGCCGAUGUCCACGUAGCGGUUUUGAACUUGCGUGCACGCGGCGUCAACGCAAUUGCGGUACAAAGUACCCAACAUCAAAUAGAAUCAUGCACACGCACUUGCGUUAACGCGGCGUCGACACGCGUCUCAUUAGCGGCGAGAGCUACCGCAAAGUCACCGCAAUUCCCCACAGGAACGCAGCGUGCACGCGAGUAUUUUUUGACAUUUCUCUAUUCUUUUUCUUUCCAACAAGAUUUCUAAUGGGAAAAUCUGCAGAAGGAAUCUGUCAGAGCGAAAUCAAAACAAACAAAAAUACUUCGCAAAUCAGUUCAUUUUGGUUUCGCAAAUUAGUUUGCAAAUAACAAAAGUUUCAAAUCUAACUUCUUUAAAUAAUAGUGCUAGUGAUAGUUCGGAGCAGCAAGUGUUUCUUCCGUUCCUAUGUUAAUACCAGUCGUGAUCAAAACACCUUUGGAAAGAACUGACAAGCAAACAUCCCAGGGUGGCGAAUAGAGUUAAAGUCAACGGAAAUAUGUGCGCGAUAGUGUAGUGACGUUGAUUGUAUUGUAUUGUACCAACUUUACCAGAAAAAAUUAAUUUCCGAACAAAUAGCGAUGUGACAGUUUUGGACUGAAUGAUGGAGCAGGAAAAAUUCAACCAAAAAAGCGCAUUUCGUGGAGCCCUGGAUACACCAAGGCAGGCGAUAGCAGUUCCGCCAUGGGAAAAGUUAUAAAAUGAAUGUCAGCGGAAGCAUGUCGUCAAACAAUGUGGAUUGCAAUUUUAAAAAGAAACGAGACCAGAUGAUGAGAUUGUGGCGAGCCACAGUAAGACCCCUUGAUCAGUGCGACUCUUCUAGUGUUGUGGGCAACGGCGAUCGGUCCGUGUUGCAGUGGAGUGAAAAUUUAUUUAGAGUACCAAAUAUGUAAGAGCGGCUGCAGUAUCAGACCAAAAUGUUUAAUGACUUUUUUAUUAGGGAAUAAAAUGAUUCGUCCCUAUUUAUUUAGCCAAUAAAUGAAACUAAUGAAAAAUCGUACCCCGUAUAUCAAAAGACAAGACAACUAAAUGCUUGGAUCCACUAUUUUUCAAGAUUAAUCUCCCCAUAUGAAGUAAUAAAUUUAUGUUGGAAAUAAAGAACAUUAUGACAUUGUAACAAUAUUUAUUUAUUAUUAUUGUAAAAAAUAUAUUGGGAUUAAGCAAAGCAAUACCAAA